rnacentral:rRNA from 1 species
GUCUACGGCCAUGCCACCCUGAACGUGCCCAAUCCCAUCUGAUCUCGGAAGCUAAGCAGGGUCGGGCCUGGUUAGGACUUGGAUGUGAGGCCACCUAGGAAGACCAGGUGCUGUAGACA